AUUGAACGCUGGCGGCAUGCCUUACACAUGCAAGUCGAACGGCAGCACGGGAGCAAUCCUGGUGGCGAGUGGCGAACGGGUGAGUAAUAUAUCGGAACGUGCCCAGUCGUGGGGAUAACGUAGCGAAAGCUACGCUAAUACCGCAUACGAUCUAUGGAUGAAAGCGGGGGAUCGCAAGACCUCGCGCGAUUGGAGCGGCCGAUAUCAGAUUAGGUAGUUGGUGAGGUAAAGGCUCACCAAGCCAACGAUCUGUAGCUGGUCUGAGAGGACGACCAGCCACACUGGGACUGAGACACGGCCCAGACUCCUACGGGAGGCAGCAGUGGGAAUUUUGGACAAUGGGCGCAAGCCUGAUCCAGCAAUGCCGCGUGCAGGAUGAAGGCC
rnacentral:rRNA from 1 species